rnacentral:lncRNA from 1 species
UGAACAUAACUUUUCAGAGCACUUGUGAUUUUCCUCUGUUACAGGGCUGCUGAAUUGUGGUAUGAGGUCAGGCCCGUGGUCACUCUCUUCUGACACCAGCAAGGUCAUUUUCAUGCCCAGUGACCCCACCUUUGCUGGCUCAAGCACAAACACCCUUUCUGAAGAACGAUACCAAAGUCAGCCUCUGUUUCCUCAGUUUCUUCCUGUUCUACCUUUGGCAUCC